UACGUAGGGAGCAAGCGUUGUCCGGAAUCAUUGGGCGUAAAGCGCACGUAGGCGGAUCUUUAAGUCAGGGGUGAAAUCCCGAGGCUCAACCUCGGAACUGCCUUUGAUACUGGGGAUCUCGAGUCCGGGAGAGGUGAGUGGAACUGCGAGUGUAGAGGUGAAAUUCGUAGAUAUUCGCAAGAACACCAGUGGCGAAGGCGGCUCACUGGCCCGGAACUGACGCUGAGGUGCGAAAGCGUGGGGAGCAAACAGGG
rnacentral:rRNA from 1 species